rnacentral:misc_RNA from 1 species
CAAAAUUUAUUGUAUUUACGAGAUCAUAUUGCUAGAAAUAGUGUUGCCAUUGGCUAACGUAACCACAUCUGUGGAUAAUGGACGCUAAUCCCAAUAACAUAGUAUUAUUUAGGAAACAAAAUUACACUGUUUCCAACAUCUGAAAUACUGUUGAUAUAAAUAUUAUACAAGACUGCAGCUAUUACUGGACUGCACAUCAGCAUUCUAAUCAUCUGCCUGAUUUUUUAUUGUAUGAGUGAAACAUUCAACCUAGGUUUCUCUCUUCCCAUCAUGAUUUUUUUAUAGGUUUGUCUUUGGUUUGCUUCCUGCAGUAAUGCGCCUGGUCAAUGAUCGCAUUGUCACGAAUUCCUCAGCAGUAGAAGGGUGUAUUCCCACCGUGCUGUCCAAUUGGGCCUUUGUUGCUCCGCACUUCAAUGCAACAGCAAUUCCCUGUAUAAUUUCAGGAGCAUCAGGCCCACACAUUGAAGCUCCAAGAACUUUAUCUGUCUCAGCAUCAACAACAAGCUUCAUCACUGUCUUCUCUUGCCGUCUAGAACCAAAGAUAGAGUAAAUGAAAAUGGUGUUGAGAAACAAGUACUUGAAGAUAUAUCUAGAAUAUAUAACACAAAAUGAGAGAUGUAAAGUUCAAAAUUAACUGAAGCAAUACUAGUCUGGAUUAGAAAGAACAUUCUAACUAUCAAAUUUGGAUCUGUCAAUGACAAAUAGAUAAGAUAUUAAUAAUUUCUCUUCAAGAUCAUCACAUAUUCAGAUACAAAGACUAAAAGCCAGCCACAUUUCCAAGUGAAGAGUUCUUCACUUAACAGCUCUAAUUCUUUCAUAUUUGUUAGUGUAUGCAACAUUCUUUGAGUUUCAUACUAAUGGUUAGUUAUUCUUUCAUAGUAUUAUAACAUAUUUGGUUAAAAAAAAAAAGUUUUCAAUUGAUUGCACAUACCCAGAGAUAGUAUUCUUCAUAGGAUUGAAGGUUGAAGUGAAAACCAAUAUAUCAUUUUUUGCUUGCUCUAUUGCCUGCUCUUCACUGAGGCCUACUACAGACAAAGGUGGUAUGCUGUAAAGAAGAAAAUCACACAUUAAUGAAUGGCUAUAAAAGAUAAAAUGAUUAACUAAUCAACACAAGCUAGGUGCAGUCUGCACUUACAGAUAUUAUCAUUCUCCUCGCUCACAAUGUCAGUAUCAGCAAAAACAAGGCUUAUAUAUCAAGGAUCCAUGCAUGGAAGCUCACAAGUCAUAAUUGGGCAAAAGACCACAAAUGCAACAUCAGAUAUUCUGAUGCAUGCCCAAGGUCUAAACAAAAUCUAUGAGUAGGACUUACUAUUCUGGGUCCUUUGAAAAAGUUCAGUAACUACAACCAUCUAUCCAGUUUCUAAUAAUUCCAUUUAACCAAUGCAAUAAUUAUCAAAAGUUCAAACAGAAAUUUACAGGGACAAAGAAGAGCCCAUAUGUUACGAAAAAUUGUUACCUAAAUACAGCACUUGGUACAUCCCUAUAAUCUGGUUUGCAAGGUUGCCCACCAAAAACAGUUUUCUGCAUGCAAUACAAACAUAAGACCCUUGAACAUCUGACAAUUUAUUUUAGCCGUAUGAACUAGGAAGCAAAAUAAAUCCAAUGGGUAUUUAAUUAAUAAAUGAAAAGAAAUCUCUAUGGAACACAUACUGCAAAGCAUGUUCCCUCCAUUAAGGCCACAGGGGUAAGAUUCAUUCGGUUUGUGACAUCACCAACAGCCCAUAUGCUAGGUAUGUUGGUGCGUGAGUACUCAUCAACCUUAAUAGCUCCAGUACUAUCAAGCUCCACGCCUGCAGUCUCCAAAUUUAACCUCUUUGUAUAGGGUGCCCGACCUGUAACAAAUUAAAGAACACUGCCAUAAAAAAUAGCAAUGACAACAAUAUGAAGACACAAACAAAAGAAGAGAAGAAAGGAGGGAACCCACAACAUAUAGAGCAACUCUUGGGGUAAUUUUGCCCCUUUUUAUCCACCUUGCCCAAUCUGUCACACUUUACCAAACUUAAUUUUUAUGGUCCAAUCUUAAGAUGUGAUUUUAUCGUACAAUGAGCCGAAAAAAUGUGAUUUUGACAAAAUUGAGUGAAACUAAUGUAUUUCAAACACUCACCUUACUUGGAAAUGAAUGCAAUUUAACAACAACAGUUAUUACCAGUAGCAAAGAGUACAACAUCUGCCAAGAAUUCUUCUCCAUGAUCUGUGGAAACUUUUAUGCCAUCCUCAGUUUUAAUCAACUGUGUCAAAUUUGUCCUAGGGUGCAAAUUUAUUCCCCUGCCUUCCAGAUUUCUUGCAACCACCGCCCUCAUUUCAUCAUCAAAACCUCUUAACGGAAGCUCCUUUCUGAAAACUAGGUCCACAGUGGCACCCAUGCCACGCCAUAUUGAAGCAAACUCAACGGCAAUGUACCCUCCACCAAGCACCACAGCACGCUUGGGCACAUCUUCCAGACUCAAUGCCUCGUCGGAGGUUAUAGCCAACUCCUGCCCAGAAAUACCAGGACGUUGAGCUCUACUUCCUGUUGCAAUCAGUAUGUUCUUUGCUGAGUAGCUCAAUUUAGUCCCAUCAAGUUGUGUAACCUCAACUUCAUUAGGCCCAACAACCUUGCCCUCUCCUUCAAACAGUUUAACCCCAGCAUUAGACAGUAAUCGCUUGUAGAUUCCAUUUAACCUUGUUAUUUCAUCUGUCUUCUUCUGCAACAGCUUUUUCCAGUUGAAGUCCACCUUUUCAUUUAUUUCCCAUCCAAAAUUCCUGGCAUCCUCAAUAUCACCUCCAAAAUAGGCUCCAUACACCAAAAUCUUCUUGGGCACACAACCACGAAGAACACAUGUUCCACCAACUCCUCCAUCUACAUCUGAGCUAAUUGGAUGAAAUGGAAGCUCGCAAAUCCCAACCUUAGCUCCAUAGUUAGCUGAGAACCUAGAAGCACGAACACCGCCACUUCCAGCUCCAAUGACAAACAAGUCAAAAUCAUAGUGUGACUCUUGUUCAUUAGACUGGUUCAGCUCUCCAUCAAUUAGCAUCUUCCUCGCCAUGAUUGUAAAAUAAGUCGAACUUUGCGUAAACUGGCUUCCUUCUUCUUUGGAGACGGAUCAGGUGAAGAAAGCAGGGGCACUUUAGGGCUUACGUGAAGAAGAGGAAGAUAUAUUAACGGUGUACAGUUUAUACACGAUCAAUGAGGCGCCACGAGAUCGGUGGUCAGAUAACAGCGAGAGAAAAUAAGCUACUAGCUGAGAAAGAGCAUAAAUAAUUUUUUUUUCUUUCGUCGGAAGAGCAUAAAUAAUUUAAUUUUACGAGGAAUGGAGUUUGGAAAGAUGGAUAAUGACGUUAGACUUGGAGGAUUCGGGUUUUUAUUUUGAUUUUGGCUUUCUACGGAACCGGC